GAUGAAGAACGUAGCGAAAUGCGAUAAGUAAUGUGAAUUGCAGAAUUCAGUGAAUCAUCGAAUCUUUGAACGCAUCUUGCGCUCCUUGGUAUUCUGAGGAGCAUGCCUGUUUGAGUGUCAUUAAAUUCUCAACUACACUGACUUUGAAUUGGUGUGGCUUGGAUUUGGGGGGAAAAUUGUUGUGGGCUUUUUGUAUAGUCUGCUCCCCUGAAAUUGAUUAGCGGUACCUUUGUGGAACUGUCUACAGGUGUGAUAAUUAUCUACAUCUUAGACAUCUGCUGGAAUGCUGCUUUCUAAACCUUACUUGUAUUGACAAUCUUGACCUCAAAUCAGGUAGGACUACCCUCUGAACUUAAGCAUAUCAAUAAGCGGAGGA
rnacentral:misc_RNA from 1 species